rnacentral:misc_RNA from 1 species
GGGGUAGGGUUUCAGGUUUUUUAUAUCUUGGAUUUUCUAGCUCAUGAAAGGGUAUUUUUGGGCUUUUAAAGAAUGUGUGGGAAUAUUAUUAUUUUCUAAUAAUCAGAGACCAAAUUGUCUUCAUGGUUUUCCGACUAAAAUUUUAGAUUUUGCAAUCCUGAUUCUCGAAUAGACCAAAUUGUCCUCAUAGUUUUCCAUGGCUGCGAGACGUUAUCCUCUUCAAAAUAUAGCCAGCCAGCAAUCCAAAGCACAAAAUCUAAUCCACCCAAUUUCCAGAACCCAAGGGAAACCAGAAAAUGUUGUAGGAAACCAUACCAUAAUAUAUCUCCCUUUGUCUGCCAUUACUGAUCUGUUGUUCUCUCUCCCAUGGAAACCUUACUUUCGUCUCACUCUCCAUCCCCUCUCUUCAAUCCGAAAGCUUCCUCACACAAAACCUGUUUACCCCCAUCACUUCAACCAAGACCUAACUCACUCUCUCUCACUAAAACCAUCACUUGUAAGCUCAAGGACCACGCUCCACAAUCUUUUAAGCCAUUUUUGCCAAUACCCACAAGCUGGGUUUCUCAUGCCCAGCAAGGCCUGGCAGCUGUAGCUCUCUCUUUGGCACUCAACUUUAGCCCACUCUUGUACACUGGCAAUGCACUAGCAUCUGAAUUUGAUGUUAUUAAUGAAGGCCCACCAAAGGAUUCUUAUGUUGUUGAUGAUGCUGGUGUGCUCAGUCGAGUGACCAAAACUGAUCUAAAGCAGCUAUUAUCAGACUUAGAGACUAGGAAGAACUUCAAGAUUAAUUUCAUCACUGUUAGAAAGCUUACUAGCAAAGCUGAUGCUUUUGAGUAUGCUGACCAAAUUCUGGAGAAAUGGUAUCCCACUGUUGAAGAGGGCAACAAUAAGGGAAUUGUUGUGCUUGUAACCAGCCAAAAGGAAGGAGCAGUAACAGGGGGCCCUGGAUUUGUCCAAGCAGUUGGAGAGAGUGUUCUUGAUUCUACUGUCUCAGAGAACCUUCCUGUAUUGGCUACAGAGGAGAAGUACAAUGAAGCAGUGUUUAGCAGUGCAAAGAGGCUAGUAGCUGCCAUUGAUGGGCUUCCAGAUCCUGGGGGCCCUAAGUUCAAGGACAAUAAGAGAGAAUCCAACUUCAAAACCAGGGAAGAGACAGAAGAGAAGAGGGGACAAUUCUCUCUAGUGGUUGGAGGUCUUUUGGUGAUUGCUUUCGUGGUUCCUAUGGCACAAUACUAUGCGUACGUAUCCAAGAAAUAGGUAAUACAUACUCAUUUAGUUAGACUUGCCCCCCCAAAUUAUUUCCUUAAAAGUUUCAGAUUUCUGAAAAUUGGUGACCUAUAGUUGUACAAUGUUAAUCUCGACUCUAAAUCAUAAAUGAGAAUUAUGCAAGCCAUGUCAAAUUAGACCAUUGAACUCCAAAACAUGUAAUAAUUUAGAAAUUGCACUCUGAAUUGACUUCCGGUCACAAAGUACAUCACUUGUCAGAACUUAAUAAUAUUAAUGGCUUGCAUAUAAUAUCAGCCAUCAAACAAAUGAAUGAAAUAAAUAUAGCAGAGUAAGUAAAUUAGCUCUUCAGAACUUGAGAUUUAGAAGGAAAGGCAUUUUAUCUGAGAAAGGAGGAUCAGAAUAUUUUCCCGUGAGUAUCUGUGAUGAAAUGUACUGAUUUGCAGCCUCUGUAUAAUGGAUUCCAUCCCAAUUCACAUAUUCAGUACUAUCAUUGCAAGCUUUGACAGAGACUGUGGUCCCAUUCAAAACUUUUGUUUGCCCACAACCAAUCCGACUGUCAUAGUUUAAUGGUGGUCCUCCGUAGCCACAGCAAGCCAUUAUGGGUUGCUCAAAUCCUGCAAAUUGAAAGCCAUCCAGGUCAAAAUUUCUUUUAUCUUCAUCUUAUUUAUCUUCUUAACUUGUUUGAAAAAACCAGCAUUCAGUACUCUAUUCUACUAAAAUUUUCGUAAGUGAAAAUAAACUAAUGUUUUUAUAAAAACUAUAUGGCUAUGAGUUGACUGUGAACAGAGGCAUCAAGAAUUUAAAGAAAAUAUUCAAAAGAUAAGAAAAGAUAAAAGUGGAAAAGAGUGUAUCAGUAGCCAGCUACGUAAAUAAGGAAAUGCGGAUAUAAUUGAAGUUGGUUGAGCAUAUUCAUUCAUUUUCACCAAUACUAACGGGUGCAUUCAAGACAGCAAUCUUAAUUGAGUGAGAAAUGCAACAAGGUUAAUGGCAUUGCCAAGAAAAAUUUGAGGUAGCAGAUGUUGGAGCUGGGAUUCUCCUAAAUUGCGCAAGUGUAAACUCAUUUAAGAAGCAAAGCGGAAAGAGAUGAAGCACACUAACCAUAUCGAGAAUAGUUUGAGAUAAGGUUAGAUUUUAUAGUGUAGAUAUCAACAUAUGUGACAUUUGAAUCCACGUAUUGGCCCUGUAGUUUUUUGCAGAGAGCAUGAAGCUGCAGAUUAAAAAGUUUAGCUGCUUGAUUAUGCCCACUGACGCAUCCAAACUCGUCAAGCUUUGAUGGAUCAGCUCCAAAUUUCGCAACAUUCUGAGUCAAGCAUCCAAGAGGACCUGUGUUGUGUAUCCAAAAAUUCCUUGCUCCUUGAUCAUGUAAUCUCUAUAAUAAGAAAAGGCAAAGCAAACCAAUCAACAGAGGAGCAUUUUUGAAGUUUUCAUCCUUCCAAGAUAAGUUAGUGUUGAUUAAACAAACCUUUAUUCCAGCUUCAAAUUCUACCAGAAUAUUUGGAAUUGAGGCGACUAUUUGAUCAAAUGUUUGGGAAUAAAAUGCACCAGCUAGAUCAUUCUGCCCUAUAUCAAACAUGUAUAGCCCCUUCUCAAAAUAGUCUUCUGCUGGAAGAUACUUACCAAGUUUCUUACCUAUAAGAAAGUGUAAAAUCAGAGAAUCCACUAAUAAAUCUUUUACUUUAAACAUUAGCUUUUGCUAAUGAAACUCCAGUGAUUGUUUAGGACAGCUCCGAUCAAGUUCCCAACAAUCAAUUUACAUACCUUUAGCCAGCAAUUCAAGAACCCGUGCUUUGAAUCUGAAAAACUGAUUCACUUGAAUUCCCAAUGAAAAAGGGCUAACUGAUCCUGCAGUUGCUGGAAGUAUUUUAGAUCCUGCAGCUGCAAAGUUGCAUCCUUCUCGAAAAUUUGGCAACCCAACAGACUCCAAAUAGGCAUUCAGGAAAGGCAGAUCCAUUGCAUCCACUGCAAUAAAACCAAAAAAAGAUGAAAAUUUUUUAUAAUAUCUAAGCAAAUAGCACUUUCUACUCAAAACAGUGCAAAGAGAAAAAGAAACCCAUCAAAGGAAAAAGCUUUUCAGUAGCGGUGAGAGAUAUACUGAGGAAAUCAAUAGCCAGACGGCCAUCGCAGUAUCUCCCAGAUGGUUUUUGAAAGUAAAAUUGCCCAUAAGGUGGAUUGAUGGUUUCAAUCCCAGAAGAAACAAGGUUGCCAGUGUCAGAAUUAGAAUCACCAAAGUUGAAAACAGCAGGGAAAUUGAAUUCUAUGGAAUGUACCAGAGGCAAGAAGUAGAAGACGCAGAUUAAAGUGAAAAUUUGGAGGAAACAGUUCUGAGUUGCCAUGGACAGGGUAGAGCUGCAGAGUAAGAGGGUAUGUUUAUUCACAAGAAAGAAGAAGAAGAAGUUGCUUUCUGUAGGAUGUUAGUUACCAACCGUAAGAGAGAAAAAAUGGUGGUACUGGUAGGUCAUUUGUGUACAAUCAAAGUUUUGCCUUGGAUUGUUUAAAUUAAAAGAACCAAGCAGGAAAGCAAAAUGAACAUCAUAAUGUUUCUUUUUGUUUGGUUAUGACUUGUUUCUCUACAGUAUUUUUGUAUAUUUCCCAUAGUGGGUUACCAUUAAAAUUGAAGGGAAAAACUUCAUAACAAUGAGAUGUAUUACAUUAAAUUAAUAAGUACCAUGCAUUUGGGUGUUCUAUAAGAGAAAAAUUAGGUGUCAAAUGUGAUCGGACUAAAUGAGAGAGUACC